UGAUGACAGUAUUGGAUACACCUGGAUAUAGUGCUACAGGUACACAUACACACAUGAUGACAGUAUUGGAUACACGUGGAUAUAGUGCUACAGGUACACAUACACACACAAUGACAGUAUUGGAUACACGUGGAUAUAGUGCUGCAGGUACACAUUGUUAUGGGUGAUGAAACGUAUUUUGCAAAUAUAAUGUACAGUUUUAGAUAGUGAUGAGUAUACUUGGUGUAAUUAGUUUUAGCUUGGGGUGAGGGGCCUUCGCUUUCGCGAGAAAUUGUUAUGUAACUAGUGGUACAGCUUGGGGUUUGAUGAAUUCAGCUUUGGUCAGUUUUUUUAAUGUGGCCAGCCAGUUUAUAGGGAGAAGCUCGGUGAUUCUGAUCUAGCUGGGAUGUUUCUUGAGGACGCGAAUUUUGCCAGUUGUGGUUGUACCCAUAAUGUGGAUUCACAAACUUGCACCCACGUCGGGACUUUGUCAAAUAUGGAAACUAGGAAAUCAUGGUGUACAGGAAGGAUUUAAAAAUGAGGUGACUAUGCCAUAUUGCUUUGCCCAUAAUAUAUCUAAGACAAUUCCCUCUUCACUUUCCACAUUUGUAAAUUGGUAUCCUGUAUCAGCCUUCUGUUAGGAUAGUAUAAAUAAAUCUUCCUGAAAUUA